rnacentral:rRNA from 1 species
GGAGGGUGCGAGCGUUGUCCGGAAUCAUUGGGCGUAAAGGGCGCGUAGGUGGCGGGACAAGCGUGCGGUGAAAGCUCGGGGCUCAACCCCGCGUCGGCCGUGCGAACUGUUUUGCUUGAGCACUGUAGAGGCAGGCGGAAUUCCGGGUGUAGCGGUGGAAUGCGUAGAGAUCCGGAAGAACACCGGUGGCGAAGGCGGCCUGCUGGGCAGUAGCUGACACUGAGGCGCGACAGCGUGGGGAGCAAACAGGAUUAGAUACCCUGGUAGUCCACGCCGUAAACGAUGGGCACUAGGCDCWUGGGGGAGCGACCCCCCGAGGGCCGGCCUAACGCAUUAAGUGCCCCGCCUGGGGAGUACGGCCGCAAGGCUG